rnacentral:rRNA from 1 species
AUUGAACGCUGGCGGCAUGCUUUACACAUGCAAGUCGAACGGUAACAGGCCGCAAGGUGCUGACGAGUGGCGAACGGGUGAGUAAUGCAUCGGAACGUGCCCCGUCGUGGGGGAUAACUACUAGAAAGAGUAGCUAAUACCGCAUACGAUCUAUGGAUGAAAGCGGGGACCGUAAGGCGUCGCGGGAUUGGAGCGGCCGAUGUCAGAUUAGGUAGUUGGUGGGGGAAAGGCACCCCAAGCCAACGAUCUGUAGCUGGUCUGAGAGGACGACCAGCCACACUGGGACUGAGACACGGCCCAGACUCCUACGGGAGGCAGCAGUGGGGAAUUUUGGACAAUGGGCGCAAGCCUGAUCCAGCAAUGCCGCGUGCAGGAAGAAGGCCUUCGGGUUGUAGACUGCUUUUGUACGGAACGAAACGGCUCUGGUUAAUACCCGGGGCGAAUGACGGUACCGUAAGAAUAAGCACCGGCUAACUACGUG